UUAAAUCUUUUGCUUUAUUGGACUGCGAUAUCGAAGAUUGUAAGGUCUGGGAGUUGAGCAAUGAGCCUUCCUUUAGAAUAGGGCUGUUCAAAGUUAUAAGAAACAAGGCAGCUUCACACCAUGAUUUCUUUUCAUUACAUUGAUGACGUGAUAUUCAUCAUAUCGCUCAAAGAAGAGCUCUAGAUAUUGUAAGUAGUCUACAACUCUAAACCCUUCAAUUUUUUUCUGAGCAACCAAACAGACAAGAGAAAGAAAAGAAUGGCACUCUCUUUCUCUCGAACUUCUCUCUCGAUAACCCAGAAAUACUUUCCUUCAAAAAUCCCCGCAACAAAAUCAACAAUCCUAAACCUCCUCUCUUAUAAACCCCACAAUCUCAACAAGUUCUCUACAAUCUCAAAACCCAACUCUUUCUGUCUGACCAUCACAAAACUCUCAAAAAACCCAAAACCCAAAUCCCAUCCUCAGCCAGUAAGAUCACUCUUCACUGGUAUAGUUGAGGAAAUGGGCACCGUUCAAAGCUUGGGUGACACUAAAGAUGGUGGCUUCGACCUUAAAAUAGAGGCAAAAACAGUACUUGAAGGUGUGCAUUUAGGUGAUAGCAUUGCAGUUAAUGGGACUUGCUUAACUGUUACUGAUUUCACUAACGAAGCCUUCACUGUGGGGUUAUCUCCUGAAACUUUGAGAAAAACUUCUCUAAUUGAGUUGAAGACUGGAUCUUUGGUUAAUUUGGAGAGGGCAGUCCAGCCUAAUAGUAGAAUGGGAGGACAUUUUGUGCAGGGUCACGUGGAUGGCACCGGUGUGAUCGUAGAGAAGGAGCCAGAGGGUGAUUCUUUGUGGAUUAAAGUGAAAGCAAAUAAAGGGCUGUUGAAAUAUAUUGUGCCAAAGGGGUUUAUUGCAGUGGAUGGGACUAGUUUGACAGUUGUUGAUGUUAUGGAGGAAGAAGAGUGUUUUAAUUUUAUGUUAGUGGCUUAUACACAGCAGAAAGUUGUUAUUCCUUUGAAGGAAGUCAGUCAGAAGGUGAAUUUGGAGGUGGAUAUUUUGGGAAAGUAUGUUGAGAGGUUGCUUAGUAGUGGGUUUGUUGAUUCCUUCAAGGGUUCUUCAUGAUUAAAGAAAAAUGGAGGUGGAAGGUGGGAAAAUGAGAUGUGGACUUGAUUAUGGACAGCCUAACUAGCUGAAGCUGACAUGCACAAGUAGUCUGUGAUACCUGGAUUUGUUCGGGCCUAAACAUUGUCGAGCCGAGAGGAAGGAGGAUGACUGUAUGUAUGGGAAUAGUUCAUAGAUUGAGGUCUUGUCUGCUCGACGUCACCGGCCUUCCUGCUUUCCAAUCUCCAAGCUUGCCUUGUUAUGUUCUUCACUGUCGUUAUUAAUAAUUCAUGAAUGAGCUCGCCAUUUGAAACCAUGUGAUGCAGCUGCAUAGACUAUCUAAAGUUAAAAUUUAUUUUUCAUCUGCUAGCCUGAAUCUACUCAUGAAUUUUCAGCCAU